GGGGAUAUAGCUCUGUGUUAGAGCACUUGCUUAGAAUGCAUGAGGUCCUGGGUUCAAGCCUCAGUACCUCUA
rnacentral:tRNA from 1 species